CGUCUGUGUUGGUAUGCAAAGUUCUCUUUCAGUGUUGCUUCUCUGGCUACCAUGUUCCUUGCAGUUGCCAGUCUCAAUGUCUACAGUAUCUUAGUAGUUUUCCAUGUGCUAAGUCCUCGUGUCACCUCCGGAGAUCCGUCUCUCUUCACCGGUGGACAACCUCCUAGCCAGCCAGCUCCCUGCCUCCACUGCCUGCAAUUUUGUUUUUCCUUCGCCAUAAACUCUUUUGUUUCCAUA